rnacentral:rRNA from 1 species
UGGGGAAUCUUGCGCAAUGCGCGAAAGCGUGACGCAGCAACGCCGCGUGGGGGAAGAAGGCCUUCGGGUUGUAAACCUCUUUCAGUUGGGACGAAGGUUGGGCGGUGAAUAGCCGUUCUGACUGACGGUACCUUCAGAAGAAGCCCCGGCUAACUACGUGCCAGCAGCCGCGGUAAUACGUAGGGGGCAAGCGUUGUCCGGAAUCAUUGGGCGUAAAGCGCGUGUAGGCGGCUCGAUAAGUCCGUUCUGAAAGUCCAGGGCUCAACCCUGGGAUGCGGAUGGAUACUGUCGGGCUCGAGUCCGGAAGAGGCGAGUGGAAUUCCCGGUGUAGCGGUGAAAUGCGCAGAUAUCGGGAGGAACACCAAUGGCGAAGGCAGCUCGCUGGGACGUGACUGACGCUGAGACGCGAAAGCGUGGGGAGCAAACAGGAUUAGAUACCCGUGUAGUCC